rnacentral:rRNA from 1 species
UUUAAAGAGAGUUUGAUCCUGGCUCAGGACGAACGCUGGCGGCGUGCCUAAUACAUGCAAGUCGAACGAACGGAGGAAGAGCUUGCUCUUCCAAAGUUAGUGGCGGACGGGUGAGUAACACGUGGGCAACCUGCCUGUAAGUUGGGGAUAACUCCGGGAAACCGGGGCUAAUACCGAAUGAUAAAGUGUGGCGCAUGCCACGCUUUUGAAAGAUGGUUUCGGCUAUCGCUUACAGAUGGGCCCGCGGUGCAUUAGCUAGUUGGUAGGGUAAUGGCCUACCAAGGCAACGAUGCAUAGCCGACCUGAGAGGGUGAUCGGCCACACUGGGACUGAGACACGGCCCAGACUCCUACGGGAGGCAGCAGUAGGGAAUCUUCCGCAAUGGACGAAAGUCUGACGGAGCAACGCCGCGUGUAUGAAGAAGGUUUUCGGAUCGUAAAGUACUGUUGUUAGAGAAGAACAAGGAUAAGAGUAACUGCUUGUCCCUUGACGGUAUCUAACCAGAAAGCCACGGCUAACUACGUGCCAGCAGCCGCGGUAAUACGUAGGUGGCAAGCGUUGUCCGGAUUUAUUGGGCGUAAAGCGCGCGCAGGCGGUCUUUUAAGUCUGAUGUGAAAGCCCCCGGCUUAACCGGGGAGGGUCAUUGGAAACUGG